AGAACGAACGCUGGCGGCAUGCCUAAUACAUGCAAGUCGAACGAACUCUUCGGAGUUAGUGGCGCACGGGUGCGUAACGCGUGGGAAUCUGCCCCUUGGUUCGGAAUAACAGUUGGAAACGACUGCUAAUACCGGAUGAUGACGAAAGUCCAAAGAUUUAUCGCCAAGGGAUGAGCCCGCGUAGGAUUAGCUAGUUGGUGAGGUAAAGGCUCACCAAGGCAACGAUCCUUAGCUGGUCUGAGAGGAUGAUCAGCCACACUGGGACUGAGACACGGCCCAGACUCCUACGGGAGCAGCAGUAGGGAUAUUGGACAAUGGGGACGAAAGCCGUAGACUCC
rnacentral:rRNA from 1 species